rnacentral:rRNA from 1 species
GACGAACGCUGGCGGCGUGCUUAACACAUGCAAGUCGAACGGAAAGGCCCUGCUUUUGUGGGGUGCUCGAGUGGCGAACGGGUGAGUAACACGUGAGUAACCUGCCCUUGACUUUGGGAUAACUUCAGGAAACUGGGGCUAAUACCGGAUAGGAGCUCCUGCUGCAUGUUGGGGGUUGGAAAGUUUCGGCGGUUGGGGAUGGACUCGAGGCUUAUCGGCUUGUUGGUGGGGUAGUGGCUUACCAAGGUUUCGACGGGUAGCCGGCCUGAGAGGGUGACCGGCCACAUUGGGACUGAGGUACGGCCCAGACUCCUACGGGAGGCAGCAGUGGAGAAUAUUGCACAAUGGGCGGAAGCCUGAUGCAGCAACGCCGCGUGCGGGAUGACGGCCUUCGGGUUGUAAACCGCUUUCGCCUGUGACGAAGCGUGAGUGACGGUAAUGGGUAAAGAAGCACCGGCUAACUACGUG